rnacentral:rRNA from 1 species
UACGUAGGGGGCAAGCGUUGUCCGGAAUCAUUGGGCGUAAAGAGCUCGUAGGCGGUCUGUCGCGUCGAAUGUGAAAACCCGGGGCUCAACCCCGGGCCUGCAUUCGAUACGGGCAGACUAGAGUUCGGUAGGGGAGUCUGGAAUUCCUGGUGUAGCGGUGAAAUGCGCAGAUAUCAGGAGGAACACCGGUGGCGAAGGCGGGACUCUGGGCCGAUACUGACGCUGAGGAGCGAAAGCGUGGGGAGCAAACAGGAUUAGAUACCUCGUGAG